UACGGGGGGGCAAGCGUUGUUCGGAAUUACUGGGCGUAAAGGGUUCGUAGGUGGCUUGUUAAGUCAGACGUUAAAUCCCUCGGCUCAACCGGGGAACUGCGUCUGAGACUGAUGAGCUCGAGUGCAGGAGAGGAACGCGGAAUUCCAGGUGUAGCGGUGAAACGCGUAGAUAUCUGGAGGAACACCGGUAGCGAAGGCGGCAUCCUGGACCGGUAUUGACGCUGAGGAGCGAAAGCCAGGGGAGCAAACGGG
rnacentral:rRNA from 1 species